rnacentral:rRNA from 1 species
AUGAUUCAAGAUGAGGUUUUUGGUUCCUCGGAUUCGGACGAAGAAGUGGACAUGAUCAUGCUCAUGAGCAUGCAAGAGGAAAUGGACUGGCAGGCGGAGCAUAUUCUCAACUUCAAGGGCUCAAUCAAAGGAAGAAGCGUGAUCAAUCGGGAUAGAGUAUUUGGAGCACGGCUAUUGCAGAAGGACUACUUUGUUCCGAACCCAACUUUCCGGAUGAUCCAUGGUUUCAUCGCCGUUUUCGCAUGCGGAAACCAUUGUUCUUGCGCAUUAUGGAGGAAGUGGAGGCACACGAUGACUACUUCAAACUCAAAAGGGAUUGUUGCAGCCAACUUUCUUUCUCUGCUAAGCAGAAGUGCACGGCUGCUCUGA